rnacentral:miRNA from 1 species
UGUGUGUGUGUGUGUGUGUGUGUGUGUGUGUUUGUGUGUAUAUAUAUAUCUUACCUCAGAAAUCUCAUCUUCCAUGAGUCUAAUGAUCCCUAAUACACACACACACACACACACACACACACACACA